CAGCAGCCACGGUAAUACGUAGGUGGCAAGCGUUGUCCGGAAUUAUUGGGCGUAGAGGGCUCGCAGGCGGUUUCUUAAGUCUGAUGUGAAAGCCCCCGGCUCAACCGGGGAGGGUCAUUGGAAACUGGGAAACUUGAGUGCAGAAGAGGAGAGUGGAAUUCCACGUGUAGCGGUGAAAUGCGUAGAGAUGUGGAGGAACACCAGUGGCGAAGGCGACUCUCUGGUCUGUAACUGACGCUGAGGAGCGAAAGCGUGGGGAGCGAACAGGAUUAGAUACCCGUGUAGUCCCUGUCUCUUAUAA
rnacentral:rRNA from 1 species